rnacentral:rRNA from 1 species
AGGGUAUUGGCGGGUGCUAUACAUGCAAGUCGAGCGAACUGAUUAGAAGCUUGCUUCUAUGACGUUAGCGGCGGACGGGUGAGUAACACGUGGGCAACCUGCCUGUAAGACUGGGAUAACUUCGGGAAACCGAAGCUAAUACCGGAUAGGAUCUUCUCCUUCAUGGGAGAUGAUUGAAAGAUGGUUUCGGCUAUCACUUACAGAUGGGCCCGCGGUGCAUUAGCUAGUUGGUGAGGUAACGGCUCACCAAGGCAACGAUGCAUAGCCGACCUGAGAGGGUGAUCGGCCACACUGGGACUGAGACACGGCCCAGACUCCUACGGGAGGCAGCAGUAGGGAAUCUUCCGCAAUGGACGAAAGUCUGACGGAGCAACGCCGCGUGAGUGAUGAAGGCUUUCGGGUCGUAAAACUCUGUUGUUAGGGAAGAACAAGUACAAGAGUAACUGCUUGUACCUUGACGGUACCUAACCAGAAAGCCACGGCUAACUACGUGCCAGCAGCCGCGGUAAUACGUAGGUGGCAAGCGUUAUCCGGAAUUAUUGGGCGUAAAGCGCGCGCAGGCGGUUUCUUAAGUCUGAUGUGAAAGCCCACGGCUCAACCGUGGAGGGUCAUUGGAAACUGGGGAACUUGAGUGCAGAAGAGAAAAGCGGAAUUCCACGUGUAGCGGUGAAAUGCGUAGAGAUGUGGAGGAACACCAGUGGCGAAGGCGGCUUUUUGGUCUGUAACUGACGCUGAGGCGCGAAAGCGUGGGGAGCAAACAGGAUUAGAUACCCUGGUAGUCCACGCCGUAAACGAUGAGUGCUAAGUGUUAGAGGGUUUCCGCCCUUUAGUGCUGCAGCUAACGCAUUAAGCACUCCGCCUGGGGAGUACGGUCGCAAGACUGAAACUCAAAGGAAUUGACGGGGGCCCGCACAAGCGGUGAGCAUGUGGUUUAAUUCGAAGCAACGCGAAGACCUUACCAGGUCUUGACAUCUCUGACACUCUAGAAGAUAGAGCGUUCCUCUUCGGGGACAGAGUGACAGGUGGUGCAUGAUGUCGUCAGCUCGUGUCGUGAGAUGUGGGUAGUCCGCACGAGCGCACCCUGAUCUAGUGCAAGCAUCAGUGGGCACUCUAGUGACUGCGUGACCAUCGAGAGUGGAUGACGUCAAUCAUCAUGCCGUUAUGACUUGACUUAACACGGUGCUACAUG